rnacentral:rRNA from 1 species
UGUGAAGGGAAAUUAAGAGCGUUUGGAGGAUGCCUUGGAUGUGAAUGGCGAUGAAGGACGCGGCAAAUCUGCGAUAAGCUUCGGCGAGGCGAUAUGCAGCCGACGAGCCGGAGAUUUCCGAAUGGGGAAACCCACUCUAAUGAAGAGUACCACACUGCUGUAAAGGCGGUGCGGAGUAAACUUGGGGAAGUGAAACAUCUCAGUACCCAAAGGAAAGGAAAACAAGUUGCUUUAAGCAACGAUAUUCUCUUAGUAGCGGCGAGCGAAAAGGGAGUAGCCCAAACUGCACCUAUCUUUUGAUAGGUGUGGGGUAGUAGGACAAUGGAGUUUUGUCGAAAACGACAAAAGGAAGUUAUAAAGUGUUAUUGUUAGUGGAAUGCGCUGGAAAGCGCAACCGUAGAGGGUGAUGGUCCCGUACACGAAAACGAUAAACCUUUCUUCUAUUGUUCCUGAGUAACCCGGGACAUGACUAGCUUGGGUGAAUCUUCCGGAACUAACCGGAAAGGCUAAAUACAUUUACAUACCGAUAGUGAACAAGUACCGUGAGGGAAAGGUGAAAAGAACCCCGGUGAGGGGAGUGAAAUAGAACUGAAACCAAACGCUUACAAGGAGUCGGAGCGGCAGCAUCAUAGCGCAACACGCGUGUGAUGCGUUAUGAUGCUGCCGUCACGGCGUGCCUAUUGAAGAAUGAGCCAGUGACUUUAUGUGUAUUGCACUAUGGUUAAGCCGUCCGCGGUGGAGCCGCAGCGAAAGCGAGUGUGAACAGCGCAUUAGUAGUACGCAUAAGACCCGAAGCCAGGUGAGCUUACCUUGAGCAGGGUGAAUGACGCCGAAAGGUGUCAGGAGGCCCGAACCGGUAGAUUGUGCAACAUCUUCGGAUGACUUGAGGUAAGGAGUGAAAAGCUAAUCGAACCUGGGAAUAUCUGGUUCUCUCCGAAAGAGUUUUAGGACUCGCGUCAUAUGUUCCUUUUGGGGGUAGAGCACUGGAAGGUGUGAAUAGGGGGAAACCUCGUCACUUCUAUCAAACUCCGAAUACCAAAAGUAAAAAUAUGGCAGUUAGACCAUGGGGGCUAAGCUCCAUAGGUCAAAAGGGAAACAGCCCGGAUCCCAAGUUAAGGUCCCUAAGUAUGUGUUAAGUACAGCGAAGGAGGUGCGAUUUUUCAGACAGCGAGGAGGUUGGCUUAGAAGCAGCCAUCCUUUAAAGAAAGCGUAAUAGCUCACUCGUCAAAAGAUCGUGCGCCGAAAAUGAUCGGGGUUCAAACACAUCACCGAAACUGGGGGAUUAUUGUAUGCUUGCAUACAAUAAUCGGUAGGAGAGCGUUCUUUGUGCACUGAAGCUGAAGGGGUGACCCACAGUGGAGCGCAAAGAAGUGAGAAUGCUGGCACGAGUAGCCGCAAUGGGAGUGAGAGUCUCCCACACCGAAAGACCAAGGGUUCCGCGGCCAUGAAAAUCAUCCGCGGGUUAGUCGGGCCUAAGAGAAUGGCGAAAGCCGGACUCGAUGGACACAUGGUUAAUAUUCCAUGACUCCGCAUAUGUACGACGGAGAGACGGAGUGUUGUACUCUUUGAGCGUUAUUGGAUUCGCUUUGUUGCUGUGAGGGAGAUACUUUAGGAAAAUCCGGGUAUCAUUAUCCCAAGCAGAGACAGAACAUAUCGGCUUGUACGAUAUGAACAAAGAGGAGCACGCUUCCAAGAAAAUCUUCUAAGUAUUAAACAUAUGUGGAACCGUACCCCAAAACCAACACAGGUAGUCAGGUCGAGAAGACCAAGGUGAACGAGUGAUUGCUCCCCAAGGAACUCGGCAAAGAAGCGGGCGUACCUUCGGAAUAAGCCCUGCCGUCUCAGGUUCGCCUGAGCGGCCGCAGCGAAUGUUUCUUCACCGACUGUUUAUCAAAAACACAGCUCCCUGCGAACUCGUAAGAGGAUGUAUAGGGGGUGACGCCUGACCAAUGCCGGAAGGUCAAGUACGGGAGGUACUGCACAUCUGUGUAGUGCUGGACUGUAUAAGCCCCGGUGAAUGUCGGCCGUAACUAUAGAAUGGAUCAUUGUAGUUACGAAAAUAAAUCUUGCUAUAUGCUGGAAACUCUGGCUGUACUAUGUACAGAAAAAUAAGAUUAUAUUACUCAUCAGUGUUAUACUGGAAGUGACAAUAUAUAAUCAAGCAGACAAUCAGCAGGUAAUACUUUUUCUUAUGUCUUAUAAUCAGAUAAAAAAAAUUCCACCAGAUCUCGGUAAUUAUAUUGCUGGAUUUUCUGACGGAGAGGGAAGCUUUAUUGUUUCUCUCAGAAAAAGACCUGAUUAUCGGAAUACAUGGAAAGUAUCUGCCUCGUUCAGUAUCUCCCAAAAAGAUAGGGUUAUCUUAUCUAAGAUUAAAAACACACUUAAGUGUGGUACUCUACGGGAGAGACAAGAUGGAGUCGUGUAUUAUGAGGUGACAAAUAUCACCGCACUACAUGACAUCAUCAUUCCUUUUUUUCAGAAGUUUAGGUUUCUUUCAGCAAAGAAAAAGAAAGAAUUUCGUAUUUUUUCUCAAAUUGUUGACAGGAUGCACCGAAAUGAGCACGUUACCGCUCAGGGGUUGAGAACAAUUAUUCAACUCCGUGAACAUCUGAAUGAAGGGCGUGGCAGAAAACGUAAAUAUACAGAGAAAAAUGUAUAUCAAGGUAGAACCUCAGAGACUACACGCAAGACACGAUCAAAAUCGUGAAGAUAUAGUCCGAUCUCUGCAGAGAUGUAGAGUUAACACAUUGAACGGUCCUAAGGUAGCGAAAUACCUUGUCCAGUAAUUUUGGACGCGCACGAAUGGCGUAACGAGUGAAGUACUGUCUCGGGGAGGAGCUCGGCGAAAAUGCAAUACCGGUAAAGAUGCCGGUUAAUCAUAGAAAGACAGAAAGACCCCGUGAAGCUUUACUACAGUUUCGUAUUGGGGUUAUGAACAUAUUGCGUAGCAUAGGAGGGAGACCGUGAAGCUAUCCUUUCGGGGAUAGUGGAGUCGCCAGUGAAAUACCUCUCUGUAUGGUUAUAAUCUCUAACCCGUGUGGCAAAACCGCAUAGAGACAGUGCGUGGCAGGUAGUUUUUGUGGGGCGCUAUCCUCCCAAAAAGUAACGGAGGAGUUCAAAGGUUCUCUAGGCGCGAAUGGAAACCGUGCCGAUAGUGUAAAGGCAUAAGAGAGCUUGACUGCAAGGGGGACAUCCCGAGCAGAUGCGAAAGCAGGACUUAGUGAACCUCUAGUACGCGUUAGAUGCGGCUAGAGAUUAACGGAUAAAAGUUACUCCGGGGAUAACAGGCUAGUUCCGCCUAAGAGUUCAUAUCGUCGGCGGAGUUCGGCACCUCGAUGUCGGCUCAUCACAUCCUGGGGGCGGAGAAGUUCCCAAGGGUUUGGCUGUUCGUCAAUUAAAGUGGUACGCGAGCUGGGUUCAGACCGUCGUGAGACAGGUUGGUUCUCUAUCUUCUAUGAUCGUUGAUACUUGAAAGGAUUUGCCCCUAGUACGAGAGGACCGGGGUGAACUGACCUCUGGUGUACCAGUUGUCGCGCCAGCGGCACGGCUGGGUAGCUAUGUCGGGAAGGGAUAACCACUGAAAGCAUCUAAGUGGGAAGCCCACCUUAAGAUAAGGUAUCGUUUGAGACCCCUGGGAGAUGACCAGGUUGAUAGGCUCUAUGUGUACGCACAGAGAUGUGUUUAGCAGAGGAGUACUAAUUAGUCGAUUCCUUCACAGG